rnacentral:lncRNA from 1 species
UGAUAGUCAAAAAUACCUAACAUUCAAUCCAGGGCUCCCUUACUGCAUAUCUUCCCAAAUGUUAAUUAUCUGUAUUUUUUUGUUUUUGUUGUGGAAAUUUUUAUUCCUUGCUGACCAGUAUGAUUAAUAUGAUACACACACAAACUCAAAAUGUUUAGGUAGAAACCACGCAAAAGACUUUUUCAGUGGGCUCAUGUCUCCCAUGGAUAAGGACUAAAUACUUCUGUGAGAGUACUGGUUCUUCAAAGCGUUGAGCCAAAACAUAUUCUUUAAAAACUCUUCCUUUUGGAAGUUCCCAUUGUGGCUCAGUGGGUUAAGAACCUGACUAGUAUCCAUGAGGAUGCAGGUUCCAUCCCUGGUCUGGAUCAGUGGGUUAAGGAUCCACUCACUGGGUUAAGGAGCCAGCGUUGCCACAAGAGCUCAGAACUGGUGUUGCUGUGCCUGUGGCAUGUGACUCUGAUUCAAUCCCUAGCCUGAGAACCUCCAUGCGCUGUGGGUGCAGCACUAAAAAGACUCAAAAUAAUAACUAUUUUAAUAAUAAUUUAAAAAAACCCUCCUUUUGGAGCUGUUGGAAACACCCUUGGGCAUUUCAUUCUAGGUCGUAACAGAGCAUGGGCUGGACCCAAGGGCCCUGCCUUGCAGCCAGUGCUGGGGUACACAUGAUGCUAGCUCCCACCCAGUCAUCUGGUCCCUAGAGAUCAACAUUAUCAACUCAACUUACCCCUUCAGGUGUGAACUUCCCUUAUGCUUGACGGUGGCUUCCAGUAAAUCGCUGUUUCCAGUUGGCCAAACUUGGCUCUCAGUAUGUGAAGCAGACUCAUUUGCCAAGUCAAUUCGUCAGAAGAACAAUUCACCCAAUUAUCGGAGACUGAAGUGUCCAUAUAGGGCCCAACUCCAUCUCUCACCCCAGAAGCUGUCAGAAAAGUGUCCUCCUCUGAACACGAGACAGUUUGCAGAGUCACAGUAAAAGGCAGGUGAAAAGCAGAAGCAAGUUUAUUUUGCUGUAAAAGGGGGAUAGUGCUGUCGAGUUCCAGGGGUAUUGUUAGGAUUAACUCAGCUAAUACCAAAAAAGCAGGUGAUAUUCAGCACUCAACAGAUGUUAGUGAUUAUUACCAUCAUAAUAAUUAUCAGUUUUAAUUUCACACAUGGAUGUAAAUUAUAGGUAUUAAACUGUACAUUUGAUGGAAGGUGAAAAUAACCGUUUAAAUAGGCAUGCCAGGAAAAGAAGAAAGGUAGCAAUCCCCAGGGCCAAUUCAGUGCUCCAUACCCUUGGUCUCAUCAUUUACACAGGGAGGGGAGAGGGGCUGGAGAUGGAGUUCAGUCACCAAUGGACAAUGAUCUAAUCAGUUGUGAUUAUGGAAUGAAGCCUUCAUGAAGCCCCAGACAGCAAGAGAGCUUCGGGGUUGGCGCUUGCGUGGAGAAUGCCAGGAGAUGGUGGAAGCUCCAAGCCCCUUCCUAUGUGCCCUGCCCAAUGUAUCUCUUCCAGCUGGCGGUUUCUAAGUUAUGUCCUUUUAUAUGAUAAUAAACCAGUGACCUAGUGAGUAAAAUGUUUCUCU